UACGGGGGGAGCAAGCGUUGUUCGGAUUUACUGGGCGUAAAGGGCGCGUAGGCGGUCAGCACAAGUCAGUUGUGAAAUCUCCGGGCUUAGCUCGGAAAGGUCAACUGAUACUGUGCGACUAGAGUGCGGAAGGGGCAACUGGAAUUCUCGGUGUAGCGGUGAAAUGCGUAGAUAUCGAGAGGAACACCUGCGGCGAAGGCGGGUUGCUGGGCCGACACUGACGCUCAUGCACGAAAGCGUGGGGAGCAAACAGG
rnacentral:rRNA from 1 species